UACGGGAGGCAGCAGUGGGGAAUAUUGCACAAUGGGCGCAAGCCUGAUGCAGCGACGCCGCGUGAGCGAUGAAGUAUUUCGGUAUGUAAAGCUCUAUCAGCAGGGAAGAUAAUGACGGUACCUGACUAAGAAGCUCCGGCUAAAUACGUGCCAGCAGCCGCGGUAAU
rnacentral:rRNA from 1 species